rnacentral:rRNA from 1 species
GUGCCAGCCGCCGCGGUAAUACGUAGGUGGCAAGCGAUACUCGGAAUCACUAGGCGUAAAGCGCAGGUAGGAGGUUUAGUAAGUCUGUUGUGAAAGCUCCCGGCUUAACUGGGAGAGGUCAACGGAAACUGCUAGGCUAGAGUGCGGUAGAGGUAGCUGGAAUUCCCGGUGUAGCGGUGAAAUGCGUAGAUAUCGGGAGGAAUACCUAUGGCGAAAGCAGGCUACUGGACCGUCACUGACUCUGAUCUGCGAAAGCUAGGGGAGCAAACAGGAUUAGAUACCCCCGUAGUCC